UUUGAAACCAUGAUUCGUAUAAAUUAAUCGUCAAAAUGGGAUGCUGAAAGCUGUCCGGUUGAUUGGUUUCUUUUUGUAUUGGUAUCCAGAGAGGAAUCCGCACUUUAUGAUCGAAACAUACCGACAGACUCCGCGUACGAGCGUAUUAAAAGCCCAUUAGCGCGUAAUUAAAACACACGCGUGAAUUCCAAUACGAGGAAGUCUCUUGCUAUAGUCACGAUGCUUGUACAGCACGACGUCGGAAGAGCGCAUCCGAGAUUGUAGAUUGUAUUACACACACCACACCGCACAAAUAAAGCUCGAUGACCAGCAUACAGCAUACAGCAUACCAAACCAGCACGAUAAAAAUUUCGACAACGAACUGUUCUCCUGAGCAACUUUGUGGCUCGAGUUACCUGUGUUGACCAAAGUGAAAAAAAUCCGUCUCAAAAUGCUUUUUACGAUCCGCGAUAACGCGAAAAUGUCACCAUCCGGGAAAUGAACACAUUGUUUAGAACUGGAAGAUGUAACCAGUUAUAAAUCAUACAAAGGUGACCGCACCACAAUGU